GACAACGGCAGGAGAAGAAUCAGCGGAGGAACAUCCAGAGGAGACUGGGUUGUUCCUGGACGCGACCGACGGGAGGAGAAGGCGGACAGGAGCAGGGCUCACGCAGGGCUGAGCAGGGAGUAGUGCCCUCGUGGCUCUGGGCCUGUUCUGUCAACUCCCCCACACUCUGCUUUCUCCAGCAGAGAGAGAGGAACAACACCUGGAGCAGACCAUGGUAUUCCUUGUCAGCAACUCACAGCUGACAGCUGCCAUGGGCAACAGGAAGCAGGAGGGCCCUGGUGCCAGGCAGCCAGCAUGCAUGCUGUGUCGCCGUGUGGAGGCUGACCCGGACACCUGCGGUGACAAAGUGGAGAAGGG